UACGAAGGGGGCUAGCGUUGCUCGGAAUCACUGGGCGUAAAGCGCACGUAGGCGGCUUUCUAAGUCAGGGGUGAAAUCCUGGAGCUCAACUCCAGAACUGCCUUUGAUACUGGAAAGCUUGAGUCCGGGAGAGGUGAGUGGAACUCCGAGUGUAGAGGUGAAAUUCGUAGAUAUUCGGAAGAACACCAGUGGCGAAGGCGGCUCAUUGGCCCGGUACUGACGCUGAUGUGCGAAAGCGUGGGGAGCAAACAGG
rnacentral:rRNA from 1 species